rnacentral:rRNA from 1 species
UACGAAGGGGGCUAGCGGUGUUCGGAAUCACUGGGCGUAAAGCGCACGUAGGCGGGUCGUUAAGUCGGGGGUGAAAUCCCGAGGCUCAACCUCGGAACUGCCUUCGAUACUGGCGAUCUUCGAGUCCGGGAGAGGUGAGUGGAACUCCGAGUGUAGAGGUGAAAUUCGUAGAUAUUCGGAAGAACACCAGUGGCGAAGGCGGCUCACUGGCCCGGUACUGACGCUGAGGUGCGAAAGCGUGGGGAGCAAACAGG